UUCUUAAUCAGUUUGGCUAAAGAUAGUGUUUCAUAAAAUGAGUUUCUUGGCCACGUGUGGUGGCUCACACCUGUAAUCCCAUUACUUUGGGAGGCAGAAGCAGGAGGAUCACAUGAGCCCAGGAGUUCAAGAUCAUCCUGUGCAGCAUGGCAAGACCUCGUCUCUGCAAAACUAAAUUAGCCGGGAUACAAAUGCUUGUUUUAAAGGAGACAUUAAAUUGAGUCUUCCAGUUUACAUAAUGAAGAUCAAACCACCUAAGCCUGUUACAGGCACCACAUUCAAAAGCCCCCUGGAAGUCUUUGCAAAGAUCAAGGACUGCUACGGACUGGGCUCCGGGCAGAAUCAUUUCAUCAAGGACAGUCAGUGGGAGCAGCAAGCUGAGAUCUUCAAUGCUUCCUACAAGAAGUAUCUAGAUGGGGAGUGGGAAGAGGAGCCACUCAGUACAGCCACCUUCUAUUUCCUUCUUCCUAGCUGCCUAUUUGCAAUGCCAAUGGAAGUCAAGGGCCCCUCAGGAAUGGCCUGUGUCCUUGGUAUACACUGGACCAGAAGUCACAAUUUCU
rnacentral:sRNA from 1 species